GACAGAGGUGCCAAGCGUUAGGCGGAAUCACUGGGCUUAAAGCGCGUGUAGGUGGCGGCCUAAGUACCUUGUGAAAUCCUGCGGCUCAACCGCAGAACUGCUUGGUAUACUGGGUCGCUUGAGCCAUCCAGGGGCAACUGGGAACAAAGCGGUGGAGCGGUGAAAUGCGUAGAUAUCGCUUGGAACGCCAAAGGUGAAAACAGGUUGCUGGGGAUGCGCUGACACUGAGACGCGAAAGCCAGGGAGCGAACGGG
rnacentral:rRNA from 1 species